UCUCGAAAGGGAUGCUAAUACCGCAUACGUCCUACGAGAGAAAGCAGGGGAUCUUCGGACCUUGCGCUAAUAGAUGAGCCUAAGUCGGAUUAGCUAGUUGGUGGGGUAAAGGCCUACCAAGGCGACGAUCUGUAGCGGGUCUGAGAGGAUGAUCCGCCACACUGGGACUGAGACACGGCCCAGACUCCUACGGGAGGCAGCAGUGGGGAAUAUUGGACAAUGGGGGGAACCCUGAUCCAGCCAUGCCGCGUGUGUGAAGAAGGCCUUAUGGUUGUAAAGCACUUUAAGCGAGGAGGAGGCUACUUUAGUUAAUACCUAGAGAUAGUGGACGUACUCGCAGAAUAAGCACCGCUACUUC
rnacentral:rRNA from 1 species